rnacentral:rRNA from 1 species
UACGAAGGGGGCUAGCGUUGUUCGGAAUUACUGGGCGUAAAGCGCACGUAGGCGGAUAUUUAAGUCAGGGGUGAAAUCCCAGAGCUCAACUCUGGAACUGCCUUUGAUACUGGGUAUCUUGAGUAUGGAAGAGGUAAGUGGAAUUCCGAGUGUAGAGGUGAAAUUCGUAGAUAUUCGGAGGAACACCAGUGGCGAAGGCGGCUUACUGGUCCAUUACUGACGCUGAGGUGCGA